UCUUGGGAAGUGAAUUUCACGCCAUAUUUUGGGUAUGGAAGAGAAAAUUAAGUUUUUCUCCAAGAC
rnacentral:tRNA from 1 species